GGGGUUGUGGCUCAGUGGCAGAGCACUUGUCUCGCACAUAUGAGGCACUGGGUUUGAUCCUCAACCCCA
rnacentral:tRNA from 1 species